rfam:Triticum aestivum genome assembly, contig: Triticum_aestivum_CS42_TGACv1_scaffold_513538_6BS
AUGCUACUCCCCCCGUCCUGAAAUACUUGUCGGAUGCAUAAAAGUGGAUGUAUCUAAAACUAAAAUAUGUCUAGAUACAUCCAUUCUUCCGACAAGUAUUUUCGGACGGAGGGAGUACUUG